rnacentral:lncRNA from 7 species
GUUAUUUACACAUUUUCAAUUUCGUACUGGGCGACUGGGCGUAGGGCGAGCUGAGCUCCCAAGUCGACGUGGCGGGGAUGGCUGCGACGGCCGGCGUCGGCGGUGGUGGAGGGGCUAACGCGGCGGUGGCAGAGCAGAUAGCACAGGCAGUGCGGUCCACCUCCAAUCUCCUCCAGCUCAUGGAGCAGUCCUCCCCCGCUCAGGUCUCCCGCCUCCUGUUCCCAUCUCGUCUUGGUUGGUUUAGGGUGUUCCGAUUGUAUUCAUGAUUUUACAGCCGUUUGCUGAUCACAAGAAUCAACUCUUCCCCAAAUUUGUGCGAAAUUAACUAAACUUAUGCUGUAAUUCGUUCACGAUGUCUUUCUUUACUCUUUAGAGACAAUGAGGUUAGGAUUUUUUAUGGAUUACUUUUGCGGUUUUGCCUUUGAAGGUG